rnacentral:tRNA from 1 species
GUAGCUCAGGGGUUAGAGCGAUCCUCUCAUAAGGGAUAGGUCGGUGGUUCAAAUCCACCC